rnacentral:lncRNA from 1 species
GCCUCUGCCUCUGAAGUGCUGGGAUUAUAGACAGCAUUGCCACACCUGGCUGUGAUCUUUCUUCACAGCAAACAUAAAGCUAGGAUGUGGUUUAGCUGUGACUUCCUUGUUAAAUCCGGUUGAUAGUGGAAGACUGCAAAGGAAUGAGCCAAACACAGCUGGUGAGACAGCAGCCUCGGUUCUAACUCAGGCAGUGAACUGAGCAACAGCGACUGAAAUCCUAAGCAUUUGCGACGAUGGCAAACUCUUCCCGAACUGAGUCUGUGCACAGAGUAAACUGUCCUAAAAAUGAGUCCAGGAAGUCACUGCUAGUCUAACUGGCCUGGCAGAGACACUUUUAUCUUCCAUCUGACUCUCAGACUACUGAAACAAUGGACCACAAGAAGCUGGAAUUCCCCCAAGAAUCUCAAGCUGAGAGAAGAAAAGACCUAAACCUAGACCAGCCAGGAAAGGGAUUUACAACCUGUCAUUUCACCUUCCCGAAAGGAAAGUCCUGACUUGAGGUAUGGAGGUUUUCUCUCGGAGCCACCAGCCUCCUGCCUGAAGAGCUGGGCAGCCUUUGUCAGCAUGCUCUACAGAGGCCUCUAAGCUCCAAGAGGUCAGGGACUGGCCGUGUUUUUCAGUCUGCAUGUCUAGAGCCUGGGAGAACUCUAGGAUCCUGGAAGGCACCCAACAGGAAGUUGAUUGACUUUAUGGCUGGACUCUCAGCUUCCAUCGGCUCUCUUCUGCCCAUUGACAAUAGUGUCUAGCUGAAGUCAUGGGUCUGGGUCUGCAUUCCCGAAGAUCCUGCCGGCCAGUGUGCUUACCUCCAGGGAUAUCUGAAGGCACUCAGAAAACAUGUAUCGCUGUGGAUGGCUUCUCAAUGACAAGAAG